AAAAUGCUAUACUUUGACAUCUGAACAAUAACUUAUCAUCAGAGUCAUCAGUGAUUCGCAUUGCAGGAAGAACUUUACUACAAACAAAAACGUGGGGGCAGGCACUAUGCACGUCAUUAUCAUAAUGGAGCACUUGACAAAAACACAUGCAUUGGAA
ensembl:lncRNA